UUUUUUUUUUUUUUUGUGAAAUUUAUUUUAAGACAUGGCCUUUUUUUCUUUUUUGCUCUACAGAUUUAUUUAACUUCCCCGAGAGAAAUGUAAUGCAUGUACCCAAAUACAACAUGUUUAAUUACUACCAUUCUAACAAAGGAAUAUGACCUUAAUAGAGAGAAACACAUUCACACUUUUUAUUGAUUUAUUUAGAAAAUAGACAGCAGAUAAGCACAGGGAGAAAAAAAAAUACAAACUAUACAGAAUAUAUGCAUUUGGGGUUUAUUCACUAAACAGCAAGUGGUACGGAAACAUUCGACUUACAAACUUAAAGCAGAAUUGGAAGGGAAAAAAAUCUUUAGUUCAUCCAAGAUGGAUUUUUCCCCCCAAUUCUACUUUAUAGUCUGAACUUGAUUUAGUUUAAAAAAAUAAAAUAAAUCUUUUAGACCUAAAUUGAAAAUCUGCAGAAAAAAAGCCAAGUUUUAAACAUUCUUCAACUAUUUUAAACUACUAAACAUUCUAACAACUAUUUUGGCCUAAAUCGUAGAUUAUCACAUAUUAUUAAAUGUGGUUGGCAGGGAAUUAGUUAAUAAUCUCUUGCCCGUCUUCUAACUUCUAACUCAUUGCCAAGCACAUAGCCUUGAAAGGGGUUAAACUAUUGCUAAUUAAUCAUAACUAGGCAAGGUGUGUAUUAUAAAAACAGUCUAUAAUCACCAGAGAACACUGAUGUGUAUUUACUAACUGGUAAUUGUGAGGAGUUGACAAGCAGACUUUUUUGCAAAAUUUGUAGCUGAGCCAGGAAUUCUCCCAAAAAAUUAAUUUUCUAUCUCAUCGAUUUAGGUCUAAAACUGAAAAUCCACUGAUCAUUUCCAAAUUUAGUGAAUAGCUUUAAUCCAAAUAUCAUGCUAAAAUAGCCAAACCAGGAACAUUAAUCAAUUGCAAAAUUUUCCCAGCUAUGUCUAUUUGUCUAGAACAGGGGUGCUCAACGGGUAGUUCCCCAGAUGUUUUAAAACUACAGCUUCCAUGAUGCUUUGUCGUUCUAAAAGCAUUCUAAAGAAAUGCAAGGCAUCAUGGGAGUUGCAGUUCUACAACAUCUGGGGAUCUACCUUUUGGGCACCCCUGUUCUAGAAUCUUAAAUCCAGUUGUCAAUUCUUCACAAUUCCUAUUGGGGUAAAAAAACAAAAAAUGUUUUUGUUUUUAUUUUUUAAAUUAGAUUUCCUCUUCCUAAUUCAGUUUUAGUAAAAGGAAAUUGCAACUUAUAUUUGUGAAAGGAUCGCACUGAAUGUUAACCCAUUGUGCUGCCAGAAUAUUCUGCCGAAACGCGGAAUCCUGACAGCAAACGGGCUAAACGAUCCACAGUAGCCAUGCACCAUCUUGGCAAAUAAACAGUUAACAUAGUGAGCUCCAGAUAUUCGAGGAAAAAGUCCCUGGCGGCUUCUAAUCCUUCCAGGCAGCGAGGACGAGUGAAGUGCCCACUGUAUUCCAAUCAUGGCUUUUCCCUGAAGAGCGUGUCCUCCUGAUCAAGUGGUCCUAAACAUUUCACAAUUUCGAUAGAGAACUGUUGAACUGUUAAGAACCACUGCACCAGGCAGACGGAGAAAUUGGUUUUAUCCAAGAGUUAGGGAGGUGGCCAGCUCCACCCACUGCAAGCUGGCCCAGCAACAUUCGCAGCGCAGACACACCUAAAACAAAACAGAUCAUGUUAGUAAUAAACACUGACUUUAAUUACACCUUUGGAAAAAAAAAGCGUCUGCGUGCUUUCAGAGACACUGUCACUCCCAGUCAGUCUUAAGAAAUCACUUGCAAGGAGUGAAGUACUCUGCGUGAUUACAUUACAUUUCUGAGAAUCCAAAGACCUGCGCGGCGUUUCAUAAACAACCUGGGUUAACUAGUGAAAUACCAGCACAACUGGCUCUGUACAGUAACAGGAAACAUCCCCCAAACACUGCCAUGAUACAUAGUUUCCCCUAUUUAAUAUUCUAGAGGUUUUCUAAGAAACUCAAUUGUUGAAAGUUGGACAAUGUGCGGUGCAAAUUACAACUCUCAUGACAUUCAGACAGCCAAUAACUUAUUUAACAUAAAUAGUUUUGUGUUUCUACCUGAGGUUGAAUACCUUCCCACCAUGACCUUUAUUUCAGGAUCUGAAUAAAGAAUUAACUCUAUUCAGGGGGGAUAUGUGCUAAGUGAAACUCUGGUGCAGUUGUCAUGGAAACCAAUGGAAUGUUCCUAACGACUGCUCCACUUUUAGAAAAUUUAAUAUUUUCACGUUAAGCAGGAGCUAUGUAAACUAAAUACAUUCAAGUAAAACACUGUGGCUCACCAAAUAUGAGUAUCUAGUAUGAAUCAACGUCAGAAAAGACCUGAAGGGUCUGCAAAAACCCUUUUGGGGGAUUGUAUGCACAAAUGAAGGUUAUGCAAGUUGCAAAUUGGGGAGAAUUGACACAUUUACUAGAAAUGUUAGUACAAAAUAGCCAGAUUGGAAAAAUGUACCAAAUCUUUAUGGCCUUAAAUUUGAUUUCUCUUCUUAUUUUUUUCUUCACAGUUCCCUAGACCAGAGAUCUAAUGUGAGCAAUUGCAUUAGGAUUCUGAAACUGCUCCAUACUGUAACUAUAAAAAGGGCCUGAAUUAAACAGGUCUGUAGUCCUGGGACAGAUACGUUUGUGAACAGGUGAAGCAGACACCAGAUUCAUCAUGUAGACAUUGUUCGGCUGUGACAGCUGCCUAUAUACAGCUCCUGUGUACCGCACCUGUCAUUUUGUAACACAGGAACCUGCACAGGCAAACAGGGGUGAAAUUCAAGCGUCAAUAAGCUGGAGGUGGCCUGCAACUCCAAAAAAAAUAAAAAUAUUUGCCAAUACAUUAUUUUCGAUUAUUGGUGCUGAAUUGACCAUUGUUGCUUUUUGUGGGUUUUGGAGCUUGCAUUCAGAAUAACUUUGCAGCUAAUUUAUCUGGAAUCUAUCGGUUAUGGUAGCUAUGGAUACAACAAGUCAAGGUUAUCCCUAGGUAUUCCCAAUCCAGAAAAACAUUCUCUACUCACCGACCCUCGGUGCCAAGCUGUUUCAUUGUGCUCUCUG
rnacentral:lncRNA from 1 species